AUUGAACGCUGGCGGCAGGCUUAACACAUGCAAGUCGAGCGGGGAAGGGUAGCUUGCUACCUAACCUAGCGACGGACGGGUGAGUAAUGCUUAGGAAUCUGCCAUUUAGUGGGGGACAACAUUCCGAAAGGAAUGCUAAUACCGCAUACGUCCUACGGGAGAAAGCAGGGGACCUUCGGACCUUGCGCUAAAUGAUGAGCCUAAGUCGGAUUAGCUAGUUGGUGGGGUAAAGGCCUACCAAGGCGACGAUCUGUAGCGGGUCUGAGGGGAUGAUCCGCCACACUGGGACUGAGACACGGCCCAGACUCCUACGGGAGGCAGCAGUGGGGAAUAUUGGACAAUGGGCGGAAGCCUGAUCCAGCCAUGCCGCGUGUGUGAAGAAGGCCUUAUGGUUGUAAAGCACUUUAAGCGAGGAGGAGGCUACUUAGAUUAAUACUCUAGGAUAGUGGACGUUACUCGCAGAAUAAGCACCGGCUAACUCUGUGCCAGCCGCCGCGGUAA
rnacentral:rRNA from 1 species